UACGUAGGCAGCAAGCGUUGUUCGGAGUUACUGGGCGUAAAGGGUGUGUAGGCGGUUAUUUAAGUUUGGUGUGAAAUCUCCCGGCUCAACUGGGAGGGUGCGCCGAAUACUGAAUAACUUCGAGUGCGGGAGAGGAAAGUGGAAUUCCUGGUGUAGCGGUGAAAUGCGUAGAUAUCAGGAGGAGCACCGGUGGUGUAGACGGCUUUCUGGACCGUAACUGACGCUGAGACACGAAAGCGUGGGUAGCAAACAGG
rnacentral:rRNA from 1 species